rnacentral:piRNA from 1 species
GACACAGGCUAUUGCCAUUGCUCUUGUGGCU